CACAACCAAAGGCCCAACUGAGCCAAGACGAUCAUGUCGGGGGCAACGUGACCCUGACCUGCUCUGUGAAGACAUCAUCUUCAUCUGGUUGGAAAUACUUCUGGUACAGAGGCAAGAAAGCCUCUGAAGCCCUGACCACACAGGGUGUGGUCUUCCACUCAGAUGCAAAGAUCAGUGUCUCAGAAGGAGGACUCUACUGGUGCAGAGGAGGAACAGGAGACCCCGUUUACUACACAGAGUACAGCCAUUCAGCCGUCACAAACAAGGCUGUUGUGACCCGACGACCCAACUGGCCUGAAAUAUACAGAGGAGAGACGGUCACUCUGACAUGUGACAUUAAGGACGGAGGAGACACUGAGUGGGAGUAUAGCUGGACAACAUCCAGUAGCAUCCACACCACCAAGAACACAUGAAUACAUGAUCAGUAAUGCUCAGUCAUCACACAGUGGAGACUACAGGUGUAUGGGCACACUGAAAGGUGAAACGUCUACAAAGUGGAGUGAUGCAAUAAUACUGAGAGUAUCUGACAAUAAACCUCUGCCAGUCCUCACUGUGUCUCUGUCAUGGCUGAGCCCUGGAGCCUCAGUAACUCUGACCUGCAGUGUUGAACAUCCAGCUGCAGGAUGGAGGUACGACUGGUAUAAGGCUGUUCCCAAACUGUCAGACAACUCCUACAGCUAUGAGCUGCUACCUGGCAGCAGCACUGGGACUGAACAGGAUUCCUACAUCGUUCAUGGACAGACACACACAGCAGGAUAUGUGUGCAGAGCUGGAAGAGGAGAUCCAGUGUAUUACACUCAAUACAGUCAACCGAAGUUUGUCCAGUCUGGAGUCACAAACAAGGCUGUUGUGACCCGACGACCCAACUGGCCUGAAAUAUACAGAGGAGAGACGGUCACUCUGACAUGUGACAUUAAGGACGGAGGAGACACUGAGUGGGAGUAUAGCUGGACAACAUCCAGUAGCAUCCACACCACCAAGAACACAUGA
rnacentral:lncRNA from 1 species